GGCGAAGCGGUUUCCCGCCGUCAGGGAGCACGGACUUACUGACCGGUUGUUUUGAUCGUCUCGCCAUAUAUAAGUACCAAUCAUCUAUAACUUUAGGUUCUUUUGAAGACCCUGACCUGGAGUAACAUGCUGACUUCAGUUCUUUGCAAAAAUGGGACCUGCUCUCGGAGCCUCAUGACCGACCGCUUUUCGAUAUGAUAAGGACACGGCCUGGAAGAUUAGUGCGCACCCAGGGUGCUGGAUUUUCGUGGCUCUGGAGGUGGGCGAAUUCAAGGCUGAUACCGCUGCCUGAUGUGUCGUGGGAGUACAUGGGAGAUCGAAAGCAGCUGGCUGCGUGCCCAGGGACCCGAGUUAUUUGGGCACAGAGCUUGGAAAAAGCAGUGCCACAGUCUUUUAACACCAUAAAUCAGGCUCAAAGGAUCAUUGAAGACUUGAGUCACCCCAACCACAAACCGUUUCAGCUGCCGCCAUCUGGGAAAUGGUACUACAACAUAAAAGCCGGGACAGCUUCUUGCAUCAGGCCAUCAGACUGCUUAAUUCAUGCUGAAGCAACUGUAUUGCUAUGUUAUAUUGAGUAUCCUGUUAUUUAUUUAUUA